AGAACGAACGCUGGCGGCAUGCCUAACACAUGCAAGUCGAACGCUUUUGGGGCUUCGGUCCCAAAGGAGUGGCGCACGGGUGAGUAGCGCGUGGGAACCUGCCCUGUUGUGGGGGAUAACCGAGGGAAACUUCGGCUAAUACCGCAUACGCCCGGGGGAAACUCCGGGGAAAGAUUUAUCGCAGCAGGAGGGGCCCGCGUCGGAUUAGGUAGUUGGUGGGGUAACGGCCCACCAAGCCUGUGAUCCGUAGCUGGUCUGAGAGGAUGAUCAGCCACACUGGGACUGAGACACGGCCCAGACUCCUACGGGAGGCAGCAGUGGGGAAUAUUGGACAAUGGGCGCAAGCCUGAUCCAGCAAUGCCGCGUGAGUGAUGAAGGCCUUCGGGUUGUAAAGCUCUUUCGCACGCGACGAUGAUGACGGUAGCGUGAGAGAAGCCCGGCUAACUUCGCGCCAGCAGCCGC
rnacentral:rRNA from 1 species